AUUGAACGCUGGCGGCAGGCUUAACACAUGCAAGUCGAGCGAGCGGCGGACGGGUGAGUAAUGUCUGGGAAACUGCCUGAUGGAGGGGGAUAACUACUGGAAACGGUAGCUAAUACCGCAUACCAUCAGAUGUGCCCAGAUGGGAUUAGCUAGUAGGUGGGGUAAUGGCUCACCUAGGCGACGAUCCCUAGCUGGUCUGAGAGGAUGACCAGCCAAAUGGGAACGAGGACACGGUCCAGACUCGUACGGGAGGAAGGAGUGGGAAAUAUUGGACAAUGGGAGAAAGCCUGAUGAGGACCUGCCGGGGGUGUGAGGAGGGCCUUCGGGUUGAAAAGCACUUUCAGCGAGGAGGCGUUAAUCGCAGAAGAAGCAACGGCUAACUCCGUGCCAGCAGCCGCGGUAAUAC
rnacentral:rRNA from 1 species